CUUUAAAAACCCUCGACUGCAACUGCUGGGGGAUCGAUCUCCUCUGCCCCUGUGUGGGUUAUGAGCUCGGCCUCAGCAUGCUGAUUCCUAAAUAAACCUCAUGAGAAUAAACCUCAAUAACGGUUUCUCUCGAGUUGUUGGGGCGUCAGCUCAUCCUGUGACUUGAGCAAGGGCCUCCCCGAAAUGGCGGCCUUUCAAAAUGAACCAAGAAAGUAGCUGCAGGCUUGGGGAAAGAGCUGGUUGUCUGCUGCUGUGAAACUUACAAAGCUACAGAUAGCCUAGUCACCAAAGCCAUUGGAGAUCUGCGAAGGAGAAAUUAUAGAAAGAUAUAUAGUCCAAAUGGUCUACAGAUCAAGUAAACAACAAAGCCUAGUCCACUACCUAGAUGGUUCCCCUGGGCUUCCAUGGUCUCUAUGGCUUAGUUAGGGGCAGAGGUAGCAUCAGUCUUUGGCCACCAGACACAAAGAUCUGAGAGACUUUCCUGUGGAGGAGGAACUUGGAGGACUGGCAUGCCUUGUCUAGACAAAGUGCGGCUAUCAACUCUCCAGUGUCCUGCUUGUCCACAGUUUGGGCAGGGUCCUGGUGACAGUUCCAGAGUCCCAGAGUGAAGUUUCAGUUUUAGAACUUGAGUGGGUGGUCUGAUCUCACUGGACCUUCAGAAAAUAUUAAUUCUACCAGGACACUUGUAACUAUGACUUCACUGCUGAAUUGCCAUCACACCGGUUCCUCUGACAGCCUCAAAAAGAUAUCAUCAAAUCUUUGUCACAUAAAACAGUAGAAAGAGCUGCAGCUGGAGCGCGGUGAGGUAGAGGCACACACCCCUCAUUACCUCUGUGCCUGCCUGACCUUCUUGGCUCUACCUCUCAUAGCUUACCGCAUGCCUGUUGGAGACAUGUGGGCCAGUUUGGAGCACAAGGAAGAAAUGUUGGGGAAGGUGAACUUUAGCAAAAGAAGCUAGAGUCAGUCACCUCAGUCAAUGGCAGACCUGUGAGCCUUCUUUUGUUAAUUUAUGCAAAUGGUGCUUAUUCUUAUUACAUAAAAACCACCUAAGGUAAUCUGAGAAUCAAAAGAUUGUGUUGUUUUCUAGUAGUGAAGGCUUUGAUAUACAGCUCCGGAUUUGGCCACAGCUCUGUUUUUUUUUUUUUUGCCUCCAGAAAUUCAAAGACCUUUCAUUUAAGAGAGGAAGAGUGAUGCACACAAGUCAAUUUGACCAGUAGGAGUGCAGAAUAUUAAAACAUUUGUUGAAUGUGAAGGUGCUAAUGUAAUGGCCAAUGACUUGCCCAAAGGAUACUUACCUAGGGUCCUAGAACUGUGGCAGGGGUCCCCUAAACCCUAUGUAGUACACGGUCCAUGGAACAUAGUCAUGCCCACAAUAGGGUUAUUGCUUAGGGGUCUUGAUCUGGUACAUUUUCUCUGCCAAUUAAAGAACUAAAAGGCAGGAGAAACCUCAGGCUGCAACAGACUUAAUUAUAAAGAGAGAGACAGACAGACAGAGAGACAGACAGAGAGACAGACAGAGAGACAGACAGAGACAGACAGAGACAGAGAGAGAGAAGAGAUAGAGAACAAAACACAUUGUACAUUGAGAGAAAAGAGUCCCAAAGAGCAGAGAAGAGAUUAAAAUCCAAUCAGAGGGCCUGGGUUUUUAAACGGUUUUUGUGGUAUAGGUCAGACUCUCCUCCAAUGAUUUUGGGUUGGUCAACUUAGUCCAAGAAGAAGAAAGCUGAUUGGCCCACAGCUCGGGUAAACAUGGUUGGAAUGAACCUUGAAUACCUCUGAACAGCAGGGACCAGUCAGCCAGAAGAGGAUCCCUUCUGGUGGGUGACAAAGCCCACAAGACUGUUGUCUUAAGUCAGGAGGGUGACAGGGGUCUGACUCCUCAGUAGUGUCUAAGGACACAGGAAACCCGAGGGACAGAGAUGCAGGCAGGAGUUGUAAGCCAGAACUCUGCCCAGCCGCCGCAGCAUGGCGUCUCUAGGUCAGGUUGGAGAGCAGGAUCCUUAGCCCGACUAGAACAAAAAGAAAAGAUUUCACACUGGCAGAGCUUCUUUCCUUUUUUAAUAUUUAGAAACAAAAUAAUCACCUUUGCUGCCAGGCAGUGCAAAGACUAGUCCAGCCCACCUUUCUUGAAAACCCAUGAUCUGCUUUUCAAGGGGAAGAUGAAAGUGCCAGGCACAGACAAUGGAUCUGAAACACCGCUGACUCUUGAAUAUUCAUGACUAUUCUAAUGCAAAUGAACGCUUCCAAUUGAGCUGGGUUUGCCUGCCGAGGUGGCUUGGAAGUGCUUUAAGCUUGCAAUAUUGCUUCUCUGUUCUUUAGAUCCCCCCCCCCCCCCCAGAACAACGUCCUCUGCUUAUUUAGAAUUCUCCUAGAAGAUUUUCCAGGUGUCCUCCUUUGGUUGAAGUUUCUGCCCCUUAAACACAUGGGCUGUGGAUCAACCUAACCCACAGGACAGCCUGCCCUUGUUUAAUUGGAGUCCAGGUCUGAGAGGCCCUCCUUUUUCUGCCCAGGGCCAGAGAGGCUUAUCACACACCAGAUUGCUUUUCCUUUGAGGUUACCUCAAACCAAAGCUCACUGUUCCCUGAAGGGCAGAGGGCGAAGAGGCUUCUGCCAGCGUUAGGAGCACUUGUUCCAGCCCUCUGGCUCAGGUAGUCAGGAGGGCUGUUUGAACUUCCUUGACUCUUGCACCCCAGGGCUCAUACCUAUAAGUGGCCUUGGCCUGUAAGCUGGGGCUUUGCCAGGUAGAAAGACUCUGCAAGACAAAACCCUGCGGGCUGAUGGUGGUGACCUUUAGAGGAACACAGUGAAUCUUCAGUCCAGGAGCACGGUGCAUCUUCAGUCCCUGUGUGUGCUAAGGGAGGCUUUCCCUUCAUAACGGGAUUUGUUGUGAGGAUUUCUGGCCAAAUCCUAGGAGGAGGAGGGGACAAGGAUGAGAAAGGAAAGUCAUUGUGCAGCCAAGGACCCUUCUGGAGAAGAAUACGGACACUGGCCCCGACCCAGGUCAGUGAAGAAAGUUUCUAUAACUUCCACCAUCUCCCAGGAGUUGGGUGGUCCUCAGGAUCCAUUGGAGUGGAUGAUGACACAUCUAGGCUUAUAUUGGCCCAGGAUCCUUAUACCAUCUAAGGACUCCUCCUGAAGGGUCUUAGGCAUGGCUCUGAUUCCACUCUUUGAUUAGCCCUUGAAAUAGAUUCGUACCUCCUAGGCUUUCCAGCAGAAGUUUCUACCCUCAAAUACUCUAUGGAAAAAGACACUCUCUAUGCCUGACACACAUUUAUUCAAUGAGCAUUUACCUAUGUUCUAAGCAGGUGACACAGGUGACAGAGACAUAGUCUCUGAUCAAUGUGUCUUGGUCUAUGGAUUCAGACUACUCUACACCCAUAGUCCCCCUCUGCACCAUGGUCACUAUCAAUGCCAUAGCUUUCUCUGGGGUGACCUCACCUUCAGUGCCCUCGUCUGGGUCCUAAAGCUACCCGAGCUAUACACACCGCCAUCAUAGAGUUCUACUUUCCACUCAGCCUCUCACGCGUGCCUGUUGUUUGCUUUCUCCUGGCAUUGCUAACACCUUUACCUGUGAUGAUUUUGUGGCUGUGAACUAGUUUGGACUUCACAAGAAGCACAUUGAUUCUCGAGGACUGGAACUACGUGGCAUGUUCCCUCCAUGUUUCAUUUCCAGGGGUGCGUAGUGUUGGCCUAGGCCUGGUGAUGUCAGUCAGACAGGCUUUAAUGAAGAUGGUACUCUAGUCGUGGCAGCUACUGAAAGACGUAGGAGGUGGGUGUCUGUAGCCCAAGCUUCUGUUCAAAUCGAGUGGCCCUGACCCUGAAAUAGACCCUGACUAUGAGCACAGAAGCCAGCAGCUCAGCUCUGUAAACAUUUAUAUACAAAGAACGUCCAUUUAGUUGCUUUUAAACGAAGGAAGUUUCUCUUCAGUGCCUUUUAGAAGGAUACUGUUAAGAGGAUGACAAGCAAGGGCGAUGCACAAAGGGAGGCAAGGGAAGUGCAUUGAGAAAUAAAGAAGCAUCUCCUGUAGCCAGAGUGGAGACGUGGCAACGUGAGGAUGAGUGAUCAAGUAGCAUGCUGAAACAGUUUUUAUAUCUCAGGAAUGAACCGGAUUGGUCCCAUAUGUAAAUUAGGCAUCAUACUCAGAUGAGUCUGAUUGGUUGUUUUGAGUGCAUGUGGGAAAGUCUGCUUUGUUGAAGGGUCCUGUAAAGAGCAGCACCUUGGAAAGCGAAAGCUGGUAGUCAGCUGACAUCUUGGAGGGUCCAGGUCUUUUGGAUUUUAACUCUUUAGUUCACCAACUGUGCUGGAUGUUUUGAUGUCGAUGGCAUACGUUCCAGGGAUUUGUUUUAGAAGAGGGAAACUCAAUUGAGAAAAUGCCCUCAUCAUACUGGACUGUAUGCAAACUUUUUUUUUUUACUGUAUGCAAACUUAUGUUACAUUUUCUUGAUUGAUGACUGGUGUGGGAGGGUCCAAUUCACUGUGUUCAAUGUCACCCCUGGGCUGGUAGUUCUGGGUGCUAUAAGAAAGUGGGGGUGGGCAAACCCUAAAGAACAAGCCGGUAAGAAGUAUUCCUUCAUGACCUCUGCUUCAUUUCCUGCCCUGAGGUCCUGCCAUGACUUCCUGGAUGAUGAACUACAAGCUGUAAACUGAAAUAAAACUUCAUCCCCAAGUUGCUUUUGGUCUUGGGGUUUUAUUAGAAUAGACACUGAGUGUGUAGAGCCCAUUGAAAAACCUCACAGCACUAAGGUUACAGGUUUGGCAUGGACAUAUUGAUAGUCUUGUUCUCCUGGAGACUGUAACCCCAACUGUGGAUAGAAUGGUGCAGCCUUACUUUUGAUUUGUAUUAAUAUUCAUAUCCCAUUGGCUGA